UUGGAACUGAGACACGGUCCAAACUCCUACGGGAGGCAGCAGUGAGGAAUAUUGGUCAAUGGGCGAGAGCCUGAACCAGCCAAGUAGCGUGAAGGAUGACCGCCCUAUGGGUUGUAAACUUCUUUUAUAUGGGAAUAAAGUCUGCCACGUGUGGCAUUUUGUAUGUACCAUAUGAAUAAGGAUCGGCUAACUCCGUGCCAGCAGCCGCGGUAAUACGGAGGAUCCGAGCGUUAUCCGGAUUUAUUGGGUUUAAAGGGAGCGUAGGUGGACAUGUAAGUCAGUUGUGAAAGUUUGCGGCUCAACCGUAAAAUUGCAGUUGAUACUGCGUGUCUUGAGUACAGUAGAGGUGGGCGGAAUUCGUGGUGUAGCGGUGAAAUGCUUAGAUAUCACGAAGAACUCCGAUUGCGAAGGCAGCUCACUGGACUGCAACUGACACUGAUGCUCGAAAGUGUGGGUAUCAAACAGGAUUAGAUACCCUGGUAGUCCACACAGUAAACGAUGAAUACUCGCUGUUUGCGAUAUACAGUAAGCGGCCAAGCGAAAGCAUUAAGUAUUCCACCUGGGGAGUACGCCGGCA
rnacentral:rRNA from 1 species